GACGAACGCUGGCGGCGUGCUUAACACAUGCAAGUCGAACGAUGAUGCUGGAGCUUGCUCCAGUUGAUUAGUGGCGAACGGGUGAGUAACACGUGAGCAAUCUGCCCUUGACUCUGGGAUAACUGCGGGAAACUGUAGCUAAUACCGGAUACUUUCACCGGAAGGCAUCUUCUGGUGAUGAAAGAAUUUCGGUCAGGGAUGAGCUCGCGGCCUAUCAGCUUGUUGGUGAGGUAACGGCUCACCAAGGCGA
rnacentral:rRNA from 1 species